GCGAUCGUGGUGGAACGGUAGACACGCGGGCUUGAGGGGCUCGUGCCGCAAGGUGUGGGGGUUCAAAUCCCCCCGAUCGCACCA
rnacentral:tRNA from 1 species